rnacentral:rRNA from 1 species
UAACAUGCAGUCGAACGGCAGCACGGGGGCAACCCUGGUGGCGAGUGGCGAACGGGUGAGUAAUACAUCGGAACGUGUCCUGUAGUGGGGGAUAGCCCGGCGAAAGCCGGAUUAAUACCGCAUACGCUCUACGGAGGAAAGGGGGGGAUCUUAGGACCUCCCGCUACAGGGGCGGCCGAUGGCAGAUUAGCUAGUUGGUGGGGUAAAGGCCUACCAAGGCGACGAUCUGUAGCUGGUCUGAGAGGACGACCAGCCACACUGGGACUGAGACACGGCCCAGACUCCUACGGGAGGCAGCAGUGGGGAAUUUUGGACAAUGGGGGCAACCCUGAUCCAGCAAUGCCGCGUGUGUGAAGAAGGCCUUCGGGUUGUAAAGCACUUUUGUCCGGAAAGAAAACGCCGUGGUUAAUACCCGUGGCGGAUGACGGUACCGGAAGAAUAAGCACCGGCUAACUACGUGCCAGCAGCCGCGGUAAUACGUAGGGUGCAAGCGUUAAUCGGAAUUACUGGGCGUAAAGCGUGCGCAGGCGGUCCGCUAAGACAGAUGUGAAAUCCCCGGGCUUAACCUGGGAACUGCAUUUGUGACUGGCGGGCUAGAGUAUGGCAGAGGGGGGUAGAAUUCCACGUGUAGCAGUGAAAUGCGUAGAGAUGUGGAGGAAUAUCGAUGGCGAAGGCAGCCCCCUGG